ACCUCUUUGGGGCAGAAGGCAGCGUGUCAGUCUCAUAAUCUGAAGGUCGUGAGUUUGAGCCUCACACAGGGCA
rfam:Danio rerio chromosome 4, GRCz11 reference primary assembly.